ACCCGGCAGAAUUUGUUGUUUUAAGCCACUCAGUUUGUGGUUAUUUGUUACGGCAGCACUUAGGAAACCAAUACAGCAACUUGUACUGCAGUAGCUAGGUACCAGGCAGAAAGGGGUAAAUGCCACAACAAAAGUAUAAGAUGCUUUGACAGUUUGGAUGGAGAAGAGCUGACUUAAAGUUGGUGAGAGUGCAGGAGAGGCGGCGGUUCAGAGAGGUUUUAUGGUGGUGGCAACAUUUGGGCUGAAUCUGAGGGAAAACAUAUGAUUUUGACAUUCAGAGAUGGUGGUGUAAUAAAUUGGUCACAUGGUUCUAGUUAACUCCACUUAUCUCAUCACAUAGAACAUCGGUGUGGCUAUCAAGGAAGCAGAUAGCACCCUCUGGUGCAAAUGUGAAAACACUCCUCAACAAUAUCACCCAUCCUCACUAAAUUUGUUUUUGAGACAGGGUUUCACUCUGUCGCCCAGGCUGUAGCACAAUGGCACGAUCAUGGCUCACUGUAGCCUUGACUUCCCAGGCUCAGCUGAUCUUCCCACCUCAGCCUCCUGAGUAGCUGGAACUGCAGGUACUCACCACCAUGCCCAGCUAAUUUUAUGUUUUGUAGAAAUGGGGUUUCACCAUAUUGCCCAGGCUGGUCUCGAACUCCUGGGCUCAUGCCAUCCUCCUGCCUCAGUCUCCCAAAGUGCUGGGAUUACAGGUGUGAGUCAUUGCGCCUGGCCGCUAAAUAAUUUAACAGCUUUACUGAGGUAUAAUGGAUACACACAGAACUGUACAUAUUUAAUACAUACAAUCUGAAGUGUUUGAGCCUACGCAAAUACCCCAUGAUGCCAUCAUCUUGAUGGUAUCAACAGACAUAUCCAACACCUCCCAAAGUUUUCUUGUGUCCCUUUUGUCUUGUAGUAACCUCUUAAAAUGAGAUUGACCCUGUCACCCUGAAAUGGAGUCUCCCUCUGUCACCCAGGCUAGAGUGCAGUGGUGCAAUCUGGGCUCGCUGCAACCUCCACCUCCUGGGUUCAAGCGAUUCUCCUGCCUCAGCAUCCCAGGUAGCUGGGAUUACAGACGUCCACCACCAUGCCCAGCUAAUUUUUGUAUUUUUACUAGAGAUGGGGUUUCACCAUGUUGGCCAGGCUGGUCUCAAACUCCUGACCUCAAGUGAUCUGCCCACCUCGGCCUCCCAAAGUGUUAGGAUUACAGGCAUGAGCCACUGCACCCAGCCCUGUUAAUAGAUUUUUAAGCACACUAUACCGUAUUAAGUGUAGGUACAAUGUUGUGCAGGUCUCUAGAAUGUAUUCAUCAAGCAAUCUGAAACUUUAGACCCAUUGAACAGCAACACUACAUCUCCCCUACUCCUCAGCCCCUGGCAGCCACUAUUGUAUUCUCUGCUUCCUUGCUCUCUGCAAAUCUGACUCUUUUAGAUAGCCCUGGCUAUGCCAGACACUGGGGUUCCCCCUCUCUCCCCUGGAACUGUAUUUCUGCUGAGUGUCUGGGUCCAGUGAGAUAUUAUGCACACUAUUUACACUUUAUUCCAUGCCAAGGUGGAAAGGGGGGUUGGACCAAGCAGAAAUCCCAAGAACUCCUGUCCCUCUCCAUUAUAUGGCCUGGACACCAGCCAAGCUCAAGAAGACAGCAGUCUAUUAUGUUCGUGCAAAAGUAAUUGCGUUUUUUGCCAUUAAAGUAACGUCAAAAACCAUACUUACUUUUGCCCCAACCUGAUAGUUCCUUUUCCCUGGGCCCUACCUGGUCUCUCCAAGGCAGAGAGCUCCUCCCUAGAAGAAAGUUCAUUCAGCUCCAUCUGACCACCCUGAGGAGGGGAGAAUCCACUUGCAGGAGGAAGAAGAGAACUUUGAUCGGUCCAUAACUUCCCCGUGGGUAGAGGGUGAGUGAGGGACCACAUUGUGUCACUGCCUUGAAACCCGUAUAGUCCCUCCCUGAUAUUGAGGGGAGAGGGUAACAGAAGAGGGCUGGAGGACUGCACGGUGCAAACUGUUUUACAUUUAAGAUCUCACUUUAUCCUCACAAUUCUACAUGUUUUAAGUAUUAUUUCUCCCCAUUUCUUCCACAGUCCAGGAUACUAAAGUUCAGAGAGGUCAUAUAACUUUUCAAAGGUCACACUACUAAAAAAACGGAGUCAGGCAGAAAUGAUUUUUCAAAUCAAUAUAUAAUUCACACAUCACAAAAUUCACCCUUUUAAAGUGUUCAAUUCAGUGGUUUUCAGUAUAUUCACAAAGUUCUGCAACCAUCAUAUUUACAGAACACUUUCAUGACCCUAAAAGAAAAUUCCAUACCCAUCAGCAGUCACUCCCCCUUUCCCGGACCCCGGCAACCACUUUGUCUGUAUAGAUUUGCCUAUUCUGGACAUUUCAUGUAAACAUAAUCAUAUGAUAUAGGGUCUUUUGGGUCUGGCAUCUUUCACUUAGGAUGUUUCCAAGGGUCAUCCAUGUUGCAGCAUGAAUCAGUACCUUGUUCCUUUUCAUGGCAAAUAAUAUUCCACUGUAUGGAUAGAUGACAUUUUAAAAAUUCACUCAUCAGCUGAUGAACAUUUGAGUUGUUUCCACUUUUUGCUUUUUUUUUUUUUUUUUUUUUUUUUGAGAUGGAGUCUCGCUCCGUCGCCCAGGCUGGAGUGCAGUGGCGCGAUCUCGGCUCACUGCAACCUCCACCUCCUGGGUACAAGUGAUUCUUGUCCCUCAGCCUCCCAAGUAGCUGCAAUUACAGGUGCCCGCCACCAUGCCUGGCUUUUUUUUUUUUUUUUUUUUGUAUUUUUACUAGAGACAGGGUUUCCUGUGUUGGCCAUGCUGGUCUCCAACUCCUGACCUCAAGUGAUCCGCCCGCCUCGGCCUCCCGAGUAGCUGGGAUUACAGGUGUGAUCUACCACGCCCAGCUAACUUUUUGACUAUUAUGAAUAAUGCUACUAUGAACAUUCAUGUAUAAGGUAUGGUGUCAACAUAUGCUUUCAAUCCUCCUGGGUAUAUACCUAGGAGUGGAAUUGCUGGGUCAUAUGUUAACUCUACGUUUAACUUUUUGAGGACCUGCCAAAGUGUUUCCAUAGCAGCUGUACCCUUUUACAUUCUCACCAGCAAUGUAUGAAUGUGCCAAUUUCUUCACCGUCUCACAGGCAUAACUGACUUUAAAACUCAUUUCUUUCCCUCCUUUCACCUUUAAAUAUAUUACUUAUUGCCUACUAUGUAACAGACACCAUGCCUAGCACUGGAGAUUCAAAGAAAAAAAAAGAAAUGGUCUCCAUAUUCUAGGAAUCCUUAGCCCAGUGGAGACAGUAGCCUAUUUAUUUUUGCACAGGUUUCCCAGCCUCAGGUGUUACUUCUUGCAAAAUAUAAAGAUGAACUGUAAAACCCAUGCUAAUAAUUUAAAAUUUUCUUUACUUAGAAUGACAUGAAAUAGCAAAUUUAAAACACCGUGACGAGUAGAGAAAGACUGUGGAGGAAAGAAAGAAGCUUUGUAUUUUAGUGGUUGUAAUGGCACUCAUUUCCUGCUUUUUGAGCAAGGAGUCUGCAUUUUCAUUUUGCACUGGCCCCCACAAAUUGUGUGGCCGGCCCUGCAGCUGGUUGAGCCACUCAGCAACAGCGCGUUACAAAGUUACAUGGCAAAGGGUGUGGAUCCCAGGAGGGCUGGAGAAUUGGGCCUUCCAUGUAAUUUACCACACCAUGUAUUUGAUAGGCUGGGAAGUUUUUAUUUUGUGAGGACAGGAGGAUAAAAGAUCUUUCAAGUUUCUUCUCAAGGGUGAUAAAAGGAUGACAUUGGAUUCAGUGAGAAUAGUUGACCACAUGUACUUCUAUUUUAAAUUUAUAAAUGAGAUAUAAUUUGGAGCCAAUUGCUGGUUUAUCAAUCAACUUCAAACACUGGAAAGUCUUAGCUGGUCUUGCUCUCUGCUGACAUCUUUAAGAGGGUUGUUUUUGCUAAAGAGCCCAUAAAUUAGUCUGAUUAGAUAGCCCCUUGAGCUAUAGGGAAGGAGAGACAGCAGCGAUGUCAGAGAAAAUCAGCCAGAAAAAAUAUUUGACUUCAAUGUCCCAUUGCAUUGAUAUUCCCUUUUCAAAUAAAUCUUUUUAAAAAUUUUAGAUUUAAGGGGUACACAUAUAGGCUUCUUAUAUGAAUCUAUUGCAUAAGGUGAAGUUCGGGCUUCCAGUAUACCCAUCACCCAAAUAGUGAAUAUUGUACCCAACAGGUAAUUUUUCAACCCUUCCCCUCCCUGACUUUCCCCACUUUUGGGGUCCCCAGUGUCUAUUAUUUAUAUCUUUAUGUCCAUGCAUAUCUAGUGUUUAGCUUCCACUUAUAAGUGAGAACAUGCAGUAUUUGAUUUUCUGUUUCCGUGUUAUUUCACUUAGGUAAUGGUCUCCAGCUCCAUACAUGUUGCUGCGAAGGACAUUUGACUUUAUUAUUUAAAAAACCAAAUAAAACUUCCUUGCUAUUAUUUUUUGUUUCUUGAUCUGAUUUCUAUCAUUUGUGUUACAAGUGGACUCAUAUUGGCUGGAAGAUACAGACUUUGAACCAAGGUUGCUUCCUUUCUUCCCAAGUGUAUUAGUCCCUUCUCACACUGCUAAUAAAGACAUACCCAAGACUGGGUAAUUUAUAAAGAAAAAGAGGUUUAAUGGACUUACAGUUCCACAUGGCUGGGGAGGCCUCACAAUGAAGGUGAAGGAGGAGAAAGGCACAUCUUACAUGGUGGCAGGCUAGAGGACAUGUGCAGGGGAACUCCCCUUUAUAAAACCAUCAGAUCUCGUGAGACUUAUUCACUAUCACGAGAACAGCAUAGAUUCAAUGACCUCCCACUGGAUCCCUCCCACGACAUGUGGGGAUUAUUACAAUUCAAGGUGAGCUUUGGGUGGCGACACAGAACCAUAUCACCAAGGUCAUUUAGAAAGUAACCAGAAGACCCAAGGCUAGCACCCGUAUCUCCAUAGCUUCUCUUUUGCUUGCAAAGAGAGUUGGACUGCAUUUUUAAUAGACUAUUAAGUCAUUUUUGCAAAUAUUAUUUGUGGGCAACAUAUUUGUAUUAUUUGGGUCUUUUUUUCACCUUAAUUACUGAGAUAUAAAUCUCCAUCUGGCCAAAAAAAAAAAGUUUAGUUUGCACAAAAACAUUGUCAUGGAUAGUUUUUAAGACUUUGAGAAAGUUCUUCACUGGCAAUUCUAUUAAUCAUUAGACAAGAAAUUACAGAAACAAACCCACUGUCUGCUUAAUUCAGCUCUUCAAAAGAGUUUCACUUAGGAAUAUGUGUUUCCAUCCCAGAAAUGAUUAGCGGAUGGUUAAAUUACAAGAGGAGGGAGAAUUAACAUUUUGAAUGAAAGGGUAUAUAAUGAGAGAGUUUGAAGUGGAAGAAAAUUGCUUUCAAAUAGAAUGGGAUUUUUGAACAAGAGAAAAACUGGUCCAGCUAUUUAUGUACAUUACCAGUUUCAAUGAUUAUACUUUGGGCUCCUUUUCAGCUCUGGCCAGUCUUUCUUAACCUGCUGAAUGUUUCAGCUUUCAGCUUUACUUUUCCAGAGUUUUGCUGGAGUUAUACUGCUAAAAAUAGAGGCAUAUUGUCCACUUAGAGCUCCCUAAGAUAUGUGGUCUACUCAGUGGUAUAGCAGCAGGAUAAAGCUAGUCUCUCUUCCCUUUCUCAUUCUUUUUUGGAUUUGCUUUUCAAAGUCUAUUUUGGUGAAAAACACAUAACAAAAACUACCAUCUGUCUUAGUCCAUUUUUAUUUAUUUAUUUUUGAGACAGUUUUGUUCUUGUUGCCCAGGCUGGAGUGCAAUGGUGUGAUCUUGGCUCACUGCAACCUCUGCCUCCCGGGUUCAAGCAAUUCUCCUGCCCCAGCCUCUUGAGUAGCAGGGAUUACAGGUGUCUGCCACCACACCUGGCUAAUUUUUGUAUUUUUAGUAGAGAUGGAGUUUUGCCAUGUUGGCCAGGCUGGUCUCGAACUCCUGACCUCAGGUGCUCCGCCC
rnacentral:lncRNA from 1 species